GACGAACGCUGGCGGCGUGCCUGACACAUGCAAGUCGGACGGUUCUUGCACCUUCAAGCUUGCUUGUUGGUUCAAGGAUAGUGGCGGACGGGUGAGUAACGCGUGAACACCUACCCAUUGGAGGGGUACAACCCGUCGAAAGGCGGGCUAAUACCGCGUAAGCCGUGAGGUGAAAGGCUGCUCUUUGGUGGCUGCCGAUGGAUGGGUUCGCGUCCUAUCAGCUGGUUGGUGGGGUAACGGCCUACCAAGGCUAAGACGGGUAGCCGGUCUGAGAGGAUGGCCGGCCACACUGGAACUGAGACACGGUCCAGACUCCUACGGGAGGCAGCAGUGGGGAAUCUUGGGCAAUGGGGGAGACCCUGACCCAGCGACGCCGCGUGAGGGAUGAAGGUUUUCGGAUCGUAAACCUCUGUUGUACGGGAAGAAGGAUGUGACGGUACCGUACGAGUAAGCCCCGGACAAACUACGUG
rnacentral:rRNA from 1 species